rnacentral:rRNA from 1 species
GUUGAACGCUGGCGGCCUGCCUAACACAUGCAAGUCGAGCGGAGCGGCGGACGGGUGAGUAAUGUCUAGGAAACUGACUGUUGGAGGGGGAUAACUAAUGGAAACGGUAGCUAAACCCGCAUUCUAGACGAUGAGCCUAGGUUGGAUGUGCUAGUUGGUGGGGAACAGGCCUACCAAGGCGACGAACCGUAACUGGUCUGAGAGGAUGAUCAGUCACACUGGAAGUGAGACACGGUCCAGACUCCUACGGGAGGCAGCAGUGGGGAAUAUUGGACAAUGGGCGAAAGCCUGAUGCAGCCAUGCCGCGUGUGUGAAGAAGGUCUUCGGAUUGUAAAGCACUUUAAGUUGGGAGGCGUUACCAACAGAAUAAGCACCGGCUAACUUCGUGCCAGCCGCCGCGGUAAUUC